CAAUAGCGUAUAUUGAAAUUGUUGCGGUUAGAAAACUCGUAGCUGGAUUUCUGCCGAGGACAACUGGUUUGCCCUCUGGGUGCGUAUCUGGCUUGCCUGGGCAUCCUCUUGGAGAAAGUAGCUGCACUUGAUUGUGUGGUGCGGUUUCAUGAUUUUUACUCUGAGGAAAGUAGAGUGUUUCAGGCAGGCAUGCACCUUGAAUACAUUAGCUGGGAAUAAUAAGAUAGGACUUCGAUUCUAUUUUGUUGAUUUCCAGAGCUGAGAUAAUCAUUAAUAGGGAUAGUUGGGGGCAUGCGUAUUUAACUGUCAGAGGUGAAAUUCUUGGAUCUGUCAAAGAUGGACUACUGCGAAAGCACUUGCCAAGGAUGUUUCCAUUGAUCAAGAACGAAAGUUAGGGGAUCGAAGACGAUUAGAUACCAU
rnacentral:rRNA from 1 species